rnacentral:rRNA from 1 species
GACGAACGCUGGCGGCGUGCUUAACACAUGCAAGUCGUACGGUAAGGCCCUUUAGGGGGUACACGAGUGGCGAACGGGUGAGUAACACUUGAGUAACCUGCCCACAACUUUGGGAUAACGCUAGGAAACUGGUGCUAAUACUGGAUAUGUGCUCCUGCUGCAUGGAGGGGGUUGGAAAGCUCCGGCGGUUGUGGAUGGACUCGCGGCCUAUCAGCUUGUUGGUGGGGUAGUGGCCUACCAAAGCGGCGACGGGUAGCCGGCCUGAUAGGGUGACCGGCCACAUUGGGACUGAGAUACGGACCAGACUCCUACGGGAGGCAGCAGUGGGGAAUAUUGCACAAUGGGCGCAAGCCUGAUGCAGCAACGCCGCGUGCGGGAUGACGGCCUUGGGGUUGUAAACCGCUUUCAGCAGGGACGAAGCUUUUUGUGACGGUACCUGCCGAAGAAGCACCGGCUAACUACGUG